rnacentral:rRNA from 1 species
CGUGAAGCUGGAUUCGCUAGUAAUCGCGCAUCAGCCAUGGCGCGGUGAAUACGUUCCCGGGCCUUGUACACACCGCCCGUCAAGCCAUGGGAGCCGGGAGUGCCUGAAGUCCGUGACCGCGAGGAGCGGCCUAGGGUAAGACCGGUGACUGGGGCUAAGUCGUAACAAGGUAGC